rnacentral:rRNA from 1 species
GAAACCGGAGCUAAUACCGGAUAGUUCCUUGAACCGCAUGGUUCAAGGAUGAAAGACGGUUUCGGCUGUCACUUACAGAUGGACCCGCGGCGCAUUAGCUAGUUGGUGGGGUAAUGGCUCACCAAGGCGACGAUGCGUAGCCGACCUGAGAGGGUGAUCGGCCACACUGGGACUGAGACACGGCCCAGACUCCUACGGGAGGCAGCAGUAGGGAAUCUUCCGCAAUGGACGAAAGUCUGACGGAGCAACGCCGCGUGAGUGAUGAAGGUUUUCGGAUCGUAAAGCUCUGUUGUUAGGGAAGAACAAGUGCGAGAGUAACUGCUCGCACCUUGACGGUACCUAACCAGAAAGCCACGGCUAACUACGUGCCAGCAGCCGCGGUAAUACGUAGGUGGCAAGCGUUGUCCGGAAUUAUUGGGCGUAAAGGGCUCGCAGGCGGUUUCUUAAGUCUGAUGUGAAAGCCCCCGGGCUCAACCGGGGAGGGUCAUUGGAAACUGGGAAACUUGAGUGCAGAAGAGGAGAGUGGAAUUCCACGUGUAGCGGUGAAAUGCGUAGAGAUGUGGAGGAACACCAGUGGCGAAGGCGACUCUCUGGUCUGUAACUGACGCUGAGGAGCGAAAGCGUGGGGAGCGAACAGGAUUAGAUACCCUGGUAGUCCACGCCGUAAACGAUGAGUGCUAAGUGUUAGGGGGUUUCCGCCCCUUAGUGCUGCAGCUAACGCAUUAAGCACUCCGCCUGGGGAGUACGGUCGCAAGACUGAAACUCAAAGGAAUUGACGGGGGCCCGCACAAGCGGUGGAGCAUGUGGUUUAAUUCGAAGCAACGCGAAGAACCUUACCAGGUCUUGACAUCCUCUGACAACCCUAGAGAUAGGGCUUUCCCUUCGGGGACAGAGUGACAGGUGGUGCAUGGUUGUCGUCAGCUCGUGUCGUGAGAUGUUGGGUUAAGUCCCGCAACGAGCGCAACCCUUGAUCUUAGUUGCCAGCAUUUAGUUGGGCACUCUAAGGUGACUGCCGGUGACAAACCGGAGGAAGGUGGGGAUGACGUCAAAUCAUCAUGCCCCUUAUGACCUGGGCUACACACGUGCUACAAUGGACAGAACAAAGGGCUGCGAGACCGCAAGGUUUAGCCAAUCCCAUAAAUCUGUUCUCAGUUCGGAUCGCAGUCUGCAACUCGACUGCGUGAAGCUGGAAUCGCUAGUAAUCGCGGAUCAGCA